rnacentral:rRNA from 1 species
CCUACGGGUGGCUGCAGUCGAGAAUCUUCGGCAAUGGGCGCAAGCCUGACCGAGCGACGCCGCGUGCGGGAUGAAGGCCCUUGGGUUGUAAACCGCUGUCAGAGGGGAGCAAGGCCUUCGGGCUUGAGCGAGCCUCAGAGGAAGCACGGGCUAAGUUCGUGCCAGCAGCCGCGGUAAUACGAACUGUGCGAACGUUAUUCGGAAUCACUGGGCUUACAGGGUGCGUAGGCGGCCUUCCAAGUCAGGUGUGAAAUCCCCCGGCUCAACCGGGGAAUGGCGCUUGAAACUGGUUGGCUUGAGUCAGCUAGAGGUACACGGAACUUCCGGUGGAGCGGUGAAAUGUGUUGAUAUCGGAAGGAACACCAGAGGCGAAAGCGGUGUACUGGAGCUGGUCUGACGCUGAGGCACGAAAGCCAGGGGAGCGAACGGGAUUAGAUACC